rnacentral:lncRNA from 1 species
AGUUUGCUAAAUUACAGGAACUACUCAUAGGGAAAGCGGUAAAUGCGAGAAUAGAAAGAUGCAGAAAAAUAAAGGUGGUCUUUUAUGCGCAGGGGCGAAGACCCUUUUUCAGGGUAUCGUAUGCCUAUUUAUAGAACCGCCUUUGCGUCAGUUAUUGCUCUUGCACGAUCAGCCACUAUCUCCUGAUUCGUAGGACCAUCUUCGGCCGAUCGGAACCGCUCGUAACUGCUUAUGGUUGUUAUAACUCCUCGGUCCAGUGCGGCUCGUAUGCGUCCGGUGUACU